UAGAGGGACAGUGGACCCCUGGUUAAAGGGGAGGUUUUGUAUCAGUGUUGAGGAGAGGGACAGUGGACCCCUGGUUAAAGGGGAGGUUUUGUAUCAGUGUUGGGGAGAGGGACAGUGGACCCCUGGAUAAAGGGGAGGUUUUGUAUCAGUGUUGGGGAGAGGGACAGUGGACCCCUGGAUAAAGGGGAGGUUUUGUAUCAGAGUUGAGGAGAGGGACAGUGGACCCCUGGUUAAAGGGGAUGUUUUGUAUCAGUGUUGAGGAGAGGAGAGGGACAGUGGACCCCUGGUUAAAGGGGAGGUUUUGUAUCAGUGUUGAGGAGAGGGACAGUGGACCCCUGGAUAAAGGGGAGGUUUUGUAUCAGUGUUGAGGAGAGGGACAGUGGACCCCUGGAUAAAGGGGAGGUUUUGUAUCAGUGUUGAGGAGAGGGACAGUGGACCCCUGGAUAAAGGGGAGGUUUUGUAUCAGUGUUGAGGAGAGGGACAGUGGACCCCUGGUUAAAGGGGAGGUUUUGUAUCAGUGUUGAGGAGAGUAGAGGGACAGUGGACCCCUGGAUAAAGGGGAGGUUUUGUAUCAGUGUUGAGGAGAGGAGAGGGACAGUGGACCCCUGGUUAAAGGGGAGGUUUUGUAUCAGUGUUGGGGAGAGGGACAGUGGACCCCUGGAUAAAGGGGAGGUUUUGUAUCAGUGUUGAGAGGAGAGGGACAGUGGACCCCUGGAUAAAGGGGAGGUUUUGUAUCAGUGUUGAGGAGAGGGACAGUGGACCCCUGGAUAAAGGGGAGGUUUUGUAUCAGUGUUGAGGAGAGGGACAGUGGACCCCUGGAUAAAGGGGAGGUUUUGUAUCAGUGUUGAGGAGAGGGACAGUGGACCCCUGGUUAAAGGGGAGGUUUUGUAUCAGUGUUGAGGAGAGUAGAGGGACAGUCGACCCCUGGAUAAAGGGGAGGUUUUGUAUCAGUGUUGAGGAGAGGGACAGUGGACCCCUGGUUAAAGGGGAGGUUUUGUAUCAGUGUUGAGGAGAGGGACAUUGGACCCCUGGAUAAAGGGGAGGUUUUGUAUCAGUGUUGAGGAGAGGGACAGUGGACCCCUGGAUAAAGGGGAGGUUUUGUAUCAGUGUUGAGAGGAGAGGGACAGUGGACCCCUGGUUAAAGGGGAGGUUUUGUAUCAGUGUUGGGGAGAGGGACAGUGGACCCCUGGAUAAAGGGGAGGUUUUGUAUCAGUGUUGAGAGGAGAGGGACAGUGGACCCCUGGAUAAAGGGGAGGUUUUGUAUCAGUGUUGAGGAGAGGGACAGUGGACCCCUGGAUAAAGGGGAGGUUUUGUAUCAGUGUUGAGGAGAGGGACAGUGGACCCCUGGUUAAAGGGGAGGUUUUGUAUCAGUGUUGAGGAGAGGGACAGUGGACCCCUGGAUAAAGGGGAGGUUUUGUAUCAGUGUUGGGGAGAGGAGAGGGACAGUGGACCCCUGGAUAAAGGGGAGGUUUUGUAUCAGUGUUGGGGAGAGGAGAGGGACAGUGGACCCCUGGAUAAAGGGGAGGUUUUGUAUCAGUGUUGAGGAGAGGGACAGUGGACCCCUGGAUAAAGGGGAGGUUUUGUGUCAGUGUUGAGGAGAGGGACAGUGGACCCCUGGAUAAAGGGGAGGUUUUGUAUCAGUGUUGAGGAGAGGGACAGUGGACCCCUGGUUAAAGGGGAGGUUUUGUAUCAGUGUUGAGGAGAGGGACAGUGGACCCCUGGAUAAAGGGGAGGUUUUGUAUCAGAGUUGAGGAGAGGGACAGUGGACCCCUGGUUAAAGGGGAGGUUUUGUAUCAGUGUUGAGGAGAGGGACAGUGGACCCCUGGUUAAAGGGGAGGUUUUGUAUCAGUGUUGAGGAGAGGGACAGUGGACCCCUGGAUAAAGGGGAGGUUUUGUAUCAGUGUUGGGGAGAGGGACAGUGGACCCUUGGUUAAAGGGGAGGUUUUGUAUCAGUGUUGAGGAGAGGGACAGUGGACCCCUGGAUAAAGGGGAGGUUUUGUAUCAGUGUUGAGUAGAGGGACAGUGGACCCCUGGAUAAAGGGGAGGUUUUGUAUCAGUGUUGAGGAGAGUAGAGGGACAGUGGACCCCUGGUUAAAGGGGAGGUUUUGUAUCAGUGUUGAGGAGAGGGACAGUGGACCCCUGGUUAAAGGGGAGGUUUUGUAUCAGUGUUGAGGAGAGUAGAGGGACAGUGGACCCCUGGUUAAAGGGGAGGUUUUGUAUCAGUGUAGAGGAGAGGGACAGUGGACCCCUGGUUAAAGGGGAGGUUUUGUAUCAGUGUUGAGGAGAGUAGAGGGACAGUGGACCCCUGGUUAAAGGGGAGGUUUUGUAUCAGUGUUGAGGAGAGGGACAGUGGACCCCUGGUUAAAGGGGAGGUUUUGUAUCAGUGUUGAGGAGAGGGACAGUGGACCCCUGGUUAAAGGGGAGGUUUUGUAUCAGUGUUGAGGAGAGUAGAGGGACAGUGGACCCCUGGUUAAAGGGGAGGUUUUGUAUCAGUGUUGGGGAGAGGGACAGUGGACCCUUGGAUAAAGGGGAGGUUUUGUAUCAGUGUUGGGGAGAGGGACAGUGGACCCCUGGAUAAAGGGGAGGUUUUGUAUCAGUGUUGAGGAGAGGGACAGUGGACCCCUGGAUAAAGGGGAGGUUUUGUAUCAGUGUUGAGGAGAGGGACAGUGGACCCCUGGAUAAAGGGGAGGUUUUGUAUCAGUGUUGAGGAGAGGGACAGUGGACCCCUGGAUAAAGGGGAGGUUUUGUAUCAGUGUUGAGGAGAGGAGAGGGACAGUGGACCCCUGGUUAAAGGGGAGGUUUUGUAUCAGUGUUGAGGAGAGGGACAGUGGACCCCUGGUUAAAGGGGAGGUUUUGUAUCAGUGUUGGGGAGAGGGACAGUGGACCCCUGGUUAAAGGGGAGGUUUUGUAUCAGUGUUGGGGAGAGGAGAGGGACAGUGGACCCCUGGAUAAAGGGGAGGUUUUGUAUCAGUGUUGAGGAGAGGGACAGUGGACCCCUGGAUAAAGGGGAGGUUUUGUAUCAGUGUUGAGGAGAGGGACAGUGGACCCCUGGAUAAAGGGGAGGUUUUGUAUCAGUGUUGAGGAGAGGGACAGUGGACCCCUGGAUAAAGGGGAGGUUUUGUAUCAGUGUUGAGGAGAGGAGAGGGACAGUGGACCCCUGGUUAAAGGGGAGGUUUUGUAUCAGUGUUGAGGAGAGGGACAGUGGACCCCUGGAUAAAGGGGAGGUUUUGUAUCAGUGUUGAGGAGAGGGACAGUGGACCCCUGGUUAAAGGGGAGGUUUUGUAUCAGUGUUGAGGAGAGGGACAGUGGACCCCUGGAUAAAGGGGAGGUUUUGUAUCAGUGUUGAGGAGAGGGACAGUGGACCCCUGGUUAAAGGGGAGGUUUUGUAUCAGUGUUGAGAGGAGAGGGACAGUCGACCCCUGGAUAAAGGGGAGGUUUUGUAUCAGUGUUGAGGAGAGGGACAGUGGACCCCUGGAUAAAGGGGAGGUUUUGUAUCAGUGUUGAGGAGAGGGACAGUGGACCCCUGGUUAAAGGGGAUGUUUUGUAUCAGUGUUGAGGAGAGGGACAGUGGACCCUUGGUUAAAGGGGAGGUUUUGUAUCAGUGUUGAGGAGAGGGACAGUGGACCCCUGGAUAAAGGGGAGGUUUUGUAUCAGUGUUGAGGAGAGGGACAGUGGACCCCUGGUUAAAGGGGAGGUUUUGUAUCAGUGUUGAGGAGAGGGACAGUGGACCCCUGGAUAAAGGGGAGGUUUUGUAUCAGUGUUGGGGAGAGGAGAGGGACAGUGGACCCCUGGUUAAAGGGGAGGUUUUGUAUCAGUGUUGAGGAGAGGGACAGUGGACCCCUGGUUAAAGGGGAGGUUUUGUAUCAGUGUUGAGGAGAGGGACAGUGGACCCCUGGUUAAAGGGGAGGUUUUGUAUCAGUGUUGAGGAGAGGGACAGUGGACCCCUGGAUAAAGGGGAGGUUUUGUAUCAGUGUUGAGGAGAGGGACAGUGGACCCCUGGUUAAAGGGGAGGUUUUGUAUCAGUGUUGAGGAGAGGGACAGUGGACCCCUGGAUAAAGGGGAGGUUUUGUAUCAGUGUUGAGGAGAGGAGAGGGACAGUGGACCCCUGGAUAAAGGGGAGGUUUUGUAUCAGUGUUGAGGAGAGGGACAGUGGACCCUUGGUUAAAGGGGAGGUUUUGUAUCAGUGUUGAGGAGAGGGACAGUGGACCCCUGGAUAAAGGGGAGGUUUUGUAUCAGUGUUGAGAGGAGAGGGACAGUGGACCCCUGGUUAAAGGGGAGGUUUUGUAUCAGUGUUGAGGAGAGGAGAGGGACAGUGGACCCCUGGUUAAAGGGGAGGUUUUGUAUCAGUGUUGAGGAGAGGGACAGUGGACCCCUGGAUAAAGGGGAGGUUUUGUAUCAGUGUUGAGGAGAGGAGAGGGACAGUGGACCCCUGGAUAAAGGGGAGGUUUUGUAUCAGUGUUGGGGAGAGGGAC